rnacentral:misc_RNA from 1 species
UUUUCGUAGGUGAACCUGCGAAAGGAUCAUUGUCGAACCCUGCAUAGCAGAACAACCCGCGAACACGUUGAAAAACACUUUUGGGGGAUGCGUGCACGGGACUAGGCGACAGACCCCCGUGCAUGUGGCCCCUUCCUUGUGGUUCCGGAGCAAUCGAGCAAAAGCGCGUGAGCUUCGGCCCACAAGAAACAAACCCCGGCGCAAUUCGCGCCAAGGAAAUCUUUAAAACUCAAGGGCGUGCUCUCCUCACGUUGCCCCCGUUUGUGGGUGCGCGAAUGGGUGUUUGCCCGCUCCUUAGUGAAAACAAAAAUGACUCUCAGCAACGGAUAUCUCGGCUCUC